UACGUAGGGUGCGAGCGUUAGUCGGAAUUACUGGGCGUAAAGCGUGCGCAGGCGGUUUUGUAAGCCAGAUGUGAAAUCCCCGGGCUUAACCUGGGAAUGGCAUUUGGGACUGCAAGGCUUGAGUGCGGCAGAGGAGACUGGAAUUCCUGGUGUAGCAGUGAAAUGCGUAGAUAUCAGGAGGAACACCGAUGGCGAAGGCAGGUCUCUGGGCUGACACUGACGCUCAUGCACGAAAGCGUGGGGAGCAAACAGG
rnacentral:rRNA from 1 species